CAAGCUUUUUUGUUAGGAAUAUUUUCUUUUACACUGAAAGUAAUUGUCGUGCAAUUCGACUUAGUUUGA
rnacentral:tRNA from 1 species